CGUAGGUGGCAAGCGUUGUCCGGAUUUAUUGGGUUUAAAGGGUGCGUAGGCGGCUUUGUAAGUCAGUGGUGAAAUACUCCAGCUCAACUGGAGAGGUGCCAUUGAUACUGCAGAGCUAGAGUACUGAUGAGGUAGGCGGAAUGGACGGUGUAGCGGUGAAAUGCUUAGAUAUCGUCCAGAACACCGAUAGCGAAGGCAGCUUACUAAAGAGUAACUGACGCUGAAGGCACGAAAGUGUGGGGAUCAAACAGGAUUAGAUACCCUGGUAGUCCACACUGUAAACGUUGAUCACUAGAUGUUGGCGAUACACUGCCAGCGUUCCAGCAAAAGCGAUAAGUGAUCCACCUGGGGAUACGCCCGCAAGGGUG
rnacentral:rRNA from 1 species